GCUACCUAGUUCCUGGGCAGAUGGGACUUACAGGUUAAUUUUGAACAUUACACAUUACCCAGGAAGGAACUAGACACGCGUUCUCUCCUGAACGGGAAGAAUCUCCCUGCUGUCCCUACAUCUUGACACAAGAGAAUGACUGGCUAGUCAAGAACUCAUCCAGUUGAAUGCACAAAGAACACAGUGACGGUUGAUCCUAUUUGACUACAGAAUACCAAGAAAGCCAGCAAAACAUUAUUUAUUCCCCACACUUUCGCUAAAAGGAAAGAAGACAUGGCCGAUGUGGUAUCUGAUGAGUGUGCAGAAGGGUCUCUCCAGUGUGGAGGUGGUGCAUUAAGCAGACUGUGGAGAAAGAAGCUGCCUUCAAUAUGAACACCUGAUCUACUUUGUCCUGUGUGGGACAAAAACUCAGAGGAAAGGCAAACUCAAUGUUUUACAUCAGACAUAGUCUCUUCCUGCAUGUCGAUGUCAGACCUUCAGGCUCUCUGUUGUGGGCUCCCUAAUGCACACCAAUCAACACAUGAAUCCCAAGCUCUAUGCUCUUCUGACUGUUUUCUUGUUCUGAGGCGUUAGGACUUGAACUGAGUGAGCCUCGCUGUUGUUACCUUCCACCAUGAAGAAACAGAAUCUGCUUAACCCUGUGAGAAACAUGACAAUGCUUGUCACCUCAGAAAGCAGAGCACAGAUCUCAUUAGAUAGCCAAGUCUCCCUGGGCCUUGCUUGACUUUGAACUCCUAGCUAGACCCUGAAUUCUAUUCUUUAUAAAUUACCAAAAAUUGGGUAUUUUGUUGUAGAGACACAAACAGACUAAGGCAGGCCUAUAGUCAUUUGAAAAUAGCAUAGUCAGUGACUUACACAACAGAAAUGUGUUUGCUAAGACUUCUAAAGGUUGGAAGUCUAAAUCAAAGUAUAGGCAGAGUCCAGCCCUUUCUGAAGGACUGAGGAGUGAGAAAAGAUCUGCCUCUGGCUUUCUGCUUGACCUGAAGAUAUCUGUCUUCAUGUUCUUAUCCAUUCUCCCUUUGUGAAAGAUCUGUUUCUAAAUACCCUCUUUAAAUGUUUAAAAAUUCAUUUAUUUACUUAUGUGAGUGUGUGUGUGUGUGUGUGUGUGUGUGUGUGUGUGUGCGCACAUCACAUCACUAAUACACAUACUGCUACAAGCUUAUAGAACUCACAGGACAAUUUGCAGGAGUCUCUUCUCUCCUUCCAUCAUGUGGGUCCCAGGGAUAGAACUUAGGUAUCCAGGCUCUGCAUAGAAAACUUUUACCUGCUGAGCCAUCUCACCUCCCCUCAAAUUCCCACUUUUUAAGACGAUGCCCACUGUGUUAGAUUAGGGCUCAGCUAAUGGCCUCACUGUAGUCUGGUUAUCUUUGUAAACAGCUUGUCACGUCCCUAGACCAUCUGGGGUACCAAAAGCUAGAAAGCCAGUAUAUGAACUUGGGGGCAAAGCGGAAGACACAGUCUAGCCCAUAACAGAGCCCACCCUGCAGCCAUACUCAAUUAUGCUUUGAGUCUUCCCUGAGACUCAGUUCAGUCAAGAUAUUUUAUUAAGCAUGGAGAGAAGGAAGGAUGCUCAGGAAGGCUUCCUUAUGAGGUCCCCAACACCAGUUGACAAGAUUUAAAUCAGGGAAAACUCAGGUUCCCAGGCUAGGAGGGAAAACAUAAAGUGGAGAGCCCAUUGGGCAAUCUGCAUUUACAAGGAAGCUAUUUAUUACACAUAGUUGCUUGAUGAGGAAUGUGGCUGAUAGCCCAACCUGUCUCUGGAAGGGUGUCUGGGAAUCCAACAUAAUUAACCUUCUAUGCUUCAUAGAAGUUGUAAUUAAUAUAACUCAAAAUUAAUAGCAGUAUGAUGAUGGGGAGAUGCGGAAGGAAAAAGGCACAGGCAAACAGGUGCUGGCAUUUUUACUAGAAAUGGAUGGGUUUUAUUUGUGUGCGUCUGUAUUCUUUGGUUGACUGGUACAGUGGCUUUCCUCUACACGCACACAUACAAUGCUUUAAUUGGAAGCUGUAAAGGUGAGGGUGUAGCACUGUGUACACAGAACCAUUGUUUGAGCAAAGCCUGACUGGUCAACAUUUUGUGUCGGGGGACAGGACAACAGGACAUGUGUGCUACAGAGAAACCUAUACGUAAGUGCUCAACGGCCGCUCACAGCCUGCCAGCCAGCAUCUGAGAACACAGGUUGGUGUUAUAGUCUGUAUCUUGAGUCAUCAAAACCCUGUUGGGAUAAAGCAUUUGAAGGAGCACAAACAGGCAGGAUUACAAUUUGGCCCCAGGCCCUCAGUCCCAAGAACACCGCCUUGAAAACAUCAGAAAGCUACAGGGGCCUGAGAAUCCAGCGCAAAUGUUCUCAUGUGCCAAGAGAACCUAAGACAGCUAUUUUCACAGCAUACUGGGACUUGGCCAAGUUCCAGAAACCAUCAACCAAGUAGCCUGCCCCGAUACUUCAAAGGAGGAACUUGCACUGAUAAAUCCUGUCCCACACUUUCUACAGCGCUCACUUAAUCUUGAGGUAUAUGAUACCACAAGAGUGAGUCACCAGACUGGAGCCUCAGGCAUAUCCACAGGAUGGGGAGAAAAAGAAAAGAAAAAAAAAAAAAAGCUCUCACAUCUGUUGUCUAGGAUAGUUCUCCUCUCCCCACUCCUUGAAGCUGUGCAAAAAAUUAAAAAAAAAAAAAAAGUCAUAGGAUACAUGAGUUAAGGCCUAGUUUACCUACACAGAGCCCUCAAUUGUAACAAACUCGGCCCACCAUUUUUAGUCACCACAGUUUGAUAAAAAAAAAAAUAAUAAUAAUCACCAGAAAGUGGGUAAGUGAGGGCGUACAGAGCCUGUACAUUCUCAGGUUCUGUCGAGUGACUCAGGACACCUCUCAGCCAUGUGACAAGGCCAACUCUUUCUUUGACAGGUUCACACCUUUCUCAAGACAUAUGAAAACUUGAAAAGCCUACAUACUUGAAAAUCAAUUAAAGUUCAAAAACUACUCGCAGAAUCUCCUAAAAAGGGGGUUGUUGGGAGAGCAGUAAAUUGCUUGUCGAGAAUACCCAAGGCCCUCCGUUAGACAAUGAUAACAAAAGCAACAACAGAAAGACAAAUGUAUGUAAAAGGAGACUGAGGUAGCAACCGGGGAGUGCCGAGGCUAACAGUGGAAGGAAGCCUUCGCUUUCCUCGGGAGGAUGUGAUAAUGAUGGUGAUGGCAAUGGCUUUGCUAUAAAUUCUGCACAGCUAGAAGUGUUCAUGGUGCUGUCUGUUCAGUCAGCAAACUUCCCUCCAUCUUAUCAUUUCUCUGUGGAAAGAUAAUGAGAAAGGUCUUGACUCUCUGUUGGGUCAGACAAGCAGGUCAGCAAAUUCAGAAUGGGUAGGAAGUAGCCAACGUAGUGGGAGACAGUUUUUGUGGAUGUGAGCGCACACGUGUGUUUUCAUUUGGCUACAUUCUGUGCAAACACAUACCUCCCCCGACAGCACUCGCUUCUUGAAGCGCCUAUGCAUGCGUCCCAGAGUGUACACUGUCCAGAUGAAGUGUACAUCUUGUAUGAAGAUUCAAUGUGUAUGAAGAUCCUUUUCCAACAACUCUGACUGGUUUUGUUUAAAAACCUUUGCUUUCACUCACAAUUUCAUUUAUCUCUCCUUGGUCCCCAGUUCCAUCCAAUUAGAUACUGGGGGCACCCCUCCCUCCCUCCCUCUCCCUCUCUCUGCCACUACAUCUCCCAACAUGAAAGAAAUGAGAAGUCACCAAUUACAAGUUCCAACAUAGCUCUUCUCAGAGCUGAUGAGUGGGAUUAUUUCAGAAUGGAUGGCCAACAGUGUGGCCUUCCACUGACCAGGGCCACCUUGAUCAUCAUCUAAGAAAUAAAACCUGUUAAGUUUUAAUCCAGGUGGUCAAUUAACCAUAAUGACUAAUCUCUCAAACAUUUGAAAUGUAAAUAAAUAAAAUAACCAAUAAAAAUGGAAAAAAGGUUUAUUUA